UGAAGGCCAGGCUGAAGACUUUGCCGGAUUAGCUGAGAGGUGGUGCAUGGCCGUCGUCAGUUCGUACUGUGAAGCAUCCUGUUAAGUCAGGCACGAGCGAGACCCACGCCCACAGUUGCCAGCGUACUCUCCGGAGUGACGGGUACACUGUGGGGACCGCCGCUGCUAAAGCGGAGGAAGGAAUGGGCAACGGUAGGUCAGUAUGCCCCGAAUAUCCCGGGCUACACGCGAGCUACAAUGGUUGGUACAAUGGGUAUCUACCCCGAAAGGGGACGGGAAUCUCCUAAAACCAAUCUUAGUUCGGAUUGAGGGCUGCAACUCGCCCUCAUGAAGCUGGAAUCCGUAGUAAUCGCGUUUCAACAGAACGCGGUGAAUACGUCCCUGCUCCUU
rnacentral:rRNA from 1 species